AAACACUCUAGUAAAGAUAUAAAUCCUUCGUACGUAUCACCCUCCAAAACCCAUUUGUUUACAUUGUUGUAUUUGUAAUGUGGACGAAUUCAACGAGAAAAAUUGACGUGUUUUCACGCAUACAUAGACACACUUACUGAGGUUUUUGGGGAAAUUUAAUAAAUUAGAGGAGAAAUUACACGCAUACUAUGAAAAAGUUUAUGAGGCUGAUUUCCGGUUUAGCUUGUAGGCAAACCAAGAUGUCUACCGGGGAUUUAUAUCUUUAUAUAGAGUGUUUUUGCUCUGCAAUUCCUUCGUCCUCCUUUUAUACCAUCUUCUUUAUCCCUAUUCUUUACUUCGAUCUCUUUUUCAUGACAUAAAUGUCUAUUUCAUCCCUAAUUGUCAUGUCAGAUUGUCAGUGAUUAGAAUUAGAAAAUAGAAGUUGCGUGCGCCGGAAAAUAAAUAAACAUAAAAAACAACUCCAAACAAAAACACAAAACUAAAUAUAAAAUAACUAAUUGGACUGGGUGCAAACCAGAGUCCCUAGGAAUGGUGACUCACCUAGCACAACUCUGACCUAUCGGUGGCCACAACAACUCCCUAUAAUUAGAAUGACAUUUUUUGUAACGUGAUUAAUUAAAUAAUUAAGUAAUCAAAUGACGGACAUACAUACAAACCCAUUUUUAAAAAGCUUUUAAAAGUGACAUUUUAGUUCAAGCGAACAUUAAAAUGUUCGUGAAAAUCAAUAGUUUAAAAUAACGAAAAAAUUGAAAUAAAUGAAAAUUUUAUUUCAA